rnacentral:rRNA from 1 species
AUUGAACGCUGGCGGCAGGCCUAACACAUGCAAGUCGAGCGGUUGAGGGAAGCUUGCUUCCUGAUUCAGCGGCGGACGGGUGAGUAAUGCCUAGGAAUCUGCCUGGUAGUGGGGGACAACGUUUCGAAAGGAACGCUAAUACCGCAUACGUCCUACGGGAGAAAGCAGGGGACCUUCGGGCCUUGCGCUAUCAGAUGAGCCUAGGUCGGAUUAGCUAGUUGGUGAGGUAAUGGCUCACCAAGGCGACGAUCCGUAACUGGUCUGAGAGGAUGAUCAGUCACACUGGAACUGAGACACGGACCAGACUCCUACGGGAGGCAGCAGUGGGGAAUAUUGGACAAUGGGCGAAAGCCUGAUCCAGCCAUGCCGCGUGUGUGAAGAAGGUCUUCGGAUUGUAAAGCACUUUAAGUUGGGAGGAAGGGCAGUCAGCGAAUACCUUGCUGUCUUGACGUUACCGACAGAAUAAGCACCGGCUAACUCUGUG